UCCUUCCUUGUCAUCGGGUGAGAGAGCUAAUCAGUGACCACAUAGUGAGAGCAGCCCUGCUGACGCCACAACAACACACAAGCAUCACCUGACCUGGGCGUCUGUCAAGGAUAUGGUGCCAUUUUUGGAAAC